GAUGAAGAACGUAGCGAAAUGCGAUAAGUAAUGUGAAUUGCAGAAUUCAGUGAAUCAUCGAAUCUUUGAACGCACAUUGCGCCCGUCAGUAUUCUGGCGGGCAUGCCUGUUCGAGCGUCAUUACGCCCCUCAAGUCCCCUGUGGACUUGGUGUUGGGGAUCGGCGAGGCUGGUUUUCCAGCACAGCCGUCCCUUAAAUUAAUUGGCGGUCUCGCCGUGGCCCUCCUCUGCGCAGUAGUAAAACAAUCGCAACAGGAGCCCGGCGCGGUCCACUGCCGUAAAACCCCCCAACUUUUUAUAGUUGACCUCGAAUCAGGUAGGACUACCCGCUGAACUUAAGCAUAUCAAUAAGCGGAGGA
rnacentral:misc_RNA from 1 species